rnacentral:rRNA from 1 species
GAUGAACGCUGGUGGCGUGCCUAAUACAUGCAAGUCGAGCGAACAGACGAGGAGCUUGCUCCUCUGACGUUAGCGGCGGACGGGUGAGUAACACGUGGAUAACCUACCUAUAAGACUGGGAUAACUUCGGGAAACCGGAGCUAAUACCGGAUAAUAUAUUGAACCGCAUGGUUCAAUAGUGAAAGACGGUUUUGCUGUCACUUAUAGAUGGAUCCGCGCCGCAUUAGCUAGUUGGUAAGGUAACGGCUUACCAAGGCGACGAUGCGUAGCCGACCUGAGAGGGUGAUCGGCCACACUGGAACUGAGACACGGUCCAGACUCCUACGGGAGGCAGCAGUAGGGAAUCUUCCGCAAUGGGCGAAAGCUUGACGGAGCAACGCCGCGUGAGUGAUGAAGGUCUUCGGAUCGUAAAACUCUGUUAUUAGGGAAGAACAAAUGUGUAAGUAACUAUGCACGUCUUGACGGUACCUAAUCAGAAAGCCACGGCUAACUACGUG